CGCAGGCUGCGCGAGGUAGUAGUGGUAAUCAGUGGGGUAUGUUUCUAGGGUGUGCAAGGCUUUGGUCUUUCGCUCUUUGCAGUAAGUGUUGUUGCUGCUUUCUGUUUGGGUUCAUGCUGCUUUUAUGAGAUGUAACACCGUGAAGGUGUGCAGCUUCAUUCCUGAAGCCAGUGAGACCACAAACCCAUCGGGAGAAACGAGCAACUCCAGACAUGCCGCCUAAAGAGCUGUAACACUCACCGCGAAGGUCUGCAGCUUCCCUCCUGAUGUAACAAGAUCACGAACCCACCAGAAGGAAGAAACUCCGAACACAUCCGAAUAUCAGAGGGGACAAACUCUGAACACGCCGCCUUUAAGAACUGUAACAACGGGAGGGUCCGUGGCUUCAUUGUUGAAGUCAGACCAAGAACCCACCAAUUCCGGACACAGAAGCACACAUUUACAAACAACAAACAUGUUCAUUAUAAAUUGUAACAUCUAUACCUGUGCGUGAUGAAGCAACUACAGGAAAACCUCCGAUUAGUAACCAAGGUUUGCUCACUCCAGCAACUUGAAAUUGAGCAUUUUAUAGCAGCAGGUGACUUCAGAGACUGGCCAAGCAAAAACCUCAUCUAAUAGUGGCUAAAGAAGGGAAGGGAGAAGGAAGGGUAUUGGAAAGUCCACACCUGACUGGAUGUUUUCAGCUCUCAGGGUCUGGAAGAUAUUUGAAGAUGACUAUCUCAUGGGCACUCUCACAGGCUUUACGAAGGUUGUCUGCAUUGGGAACCUCCACUGAAGAUCCCAGUAAGUCGGCAAUGCAUCAACUUUGGGGACCACUCCCCACCAGGCUCCCACCACUGCCAUUCGUUUGCUCUGAUUCUGGCUACUGGAGUCAUGCCAUUCUCCAGGAGUUCCUGCGGAUCGAGAGCAGAAUUUAACAUUAGCCUGGAAAUCUCACACCAGAGAGUAAAGAAAUGCUCAAAGACCACAUAGUCAUGUCAAACGGACAUGAGACUUCUCGAGUUUUUGCUGGCCUCAUUUAGACAAUCUGUGCAUCAAACUAAUAAUGAAUAUGAUUGAUUAGAACAUAUUGACUGUUUUUGUUUGUUUGAGAGUCUCCCUCUGUUGCCAAGGCUGGAGUACAGUGGAGCGAUCUUGGCUCACUGCAACCUCCGCUUCCCGGGUCCAAGUGAUUCUCCUGCAUCAGCCUCCAGAGUAGCUGGACUACAGACAUGCACCACCACGCCCGGCUAAUUUUCUGUGUUUUUAGUAGAGACAGCGUUUUCCCAUAUUGGCCAGGCUGGUCUUGAACUCCUGAUCUCAAGUGAUCCACGCCUCAGCCUCCCAAAGUGGUGGGAUUACAGGUGUGUGAGCCACCGUGCCUGGCCCUGAUUAGAACAUUUCGAAUCAAUAAAUAUUCAUUAAUGAAUAAAUAGAAAACAAUGAGAAUGCGGGGGGAAAAGCAGCUCUUCUUUACUGAAAAACGUCAUCUGAUAAAUACACAGGCGUAGAAUUAGAAAAUUACCAUUUUGAACCUUCAGUGUAUCAACUGAUUCAGGUAAGGGUCUUCUAUAGGUGAUAAAAGUAUUAGAUGAAAAAUUAUUGGGGGACUGGAUAUCUGUAUGAUGUCAAAGCACUACUCUUUUAAAAAAGAUAUCUUUGACCAGGUGCAGAAGCUCGUGCUUGUAAUCCCAGAAGCUUGGGAGGCUGAUGUGGGAGGAUUAUAUUUGUAAUUUUGUACGCUAAAAACCUUUUUUUUUUUUUUAAAGACCAAGUCUUGCUCUGUUGCCCAGGCUGGAGUGCCAUGGUGUGAUCUCGGCUCACUGCAACCUCUGCCUCCUGGGUUCAAGCAAUUCUGCUGCCUCAGCCUCCCUAGUAUCUGGGAUUACAGGCAUGCACCACCACGUCCGGC
rnacentral:lncRNA from 1 species